AACGAACGCUGGCGGCAGGCCUAACACAUGCAAGUCGAGCGAUUUACUUCGGUAAAGAGCGGCGGACGGGUGAGUAACGCGUGGGUAACCUGCCCUGUACACACGGAUAACAUACCGAAAGGUAUGCUAAUACGAGAUAAUAUGCUUUUAUCGCAUGGUAGAAGUAUCAAAGCUUUUGCGGUACAGGAUGGACCCGCGUCUGAUUAGCUAGUUGGUAAGGUAACGGCUUACCAAGGCGACGAUCAGUAGCCGACCUGGGAGGGUGAUCGGCCACAUUGGAACUGAGACACGGUCCAAACUCCUACGGGAGGCAGCAGUGGGGAAUAUUGCACAAUGGGCGAAAGCCUGAUGCAGCAACGCCGCGUGAGCGAUGAAGGCCUUCGGGUCGUAAAGCUCUGUCCUCAAGGAAGAUAAUGACGGUACUUGAGGAGGAAGCCCCGGCUAACUACGUGCCAGCAGCCGCCGUAAGAC
rnacentral:rRNA from 1 species